GACGAACGCUGGCGGCGUGCUUAACACAUGCAAGUCGAACGGAAAGGCCCUGCUCUUGUGGGGUGCUCGAGUGGCGAACGGGUGAGUAACACGUGAGUAACCUGCCCUUGACUUUGGGAUAACUUCAGGAAACUGGGGAUAAUACCGGAUAGGAGCUCCUGCUGCAUGGUGGGGGUUGGAAAGAUUCGGCGGUUGGGGAUGGACUAGCGGCUUAUCAGCUUGUUGGUGGGGUAGUGGCUUACCAAGGCUUUGACGGGUAGCCGGCCUGAGAGGGUGACCGGCCACAUUGGUACUGAGAUACGGCCCAGACUCCUACGGGAGGCAGAAGUGGGGAAUAUUGCACAAUGGGCGGAAGCCUGAUGCAGCAACGCCGCGUGCGGGAUGACGGCCUUCGGGUUGUAAACCGCUUUCGCCUGUGACGAAGCGUGAGUGACGGUAAUGGGUAAAGAAGCACCGGCUAACUACGUG
rnacentral:rRNA from 1 species